rnacentral:lncRNA from 1 species
GUGGUCAUAUUAGAAAAAGCUCCCCUUAAGGCAUGGAUUAUAUAUUCCAACACUUCAAAUAUUUUGACGACUGAUCUCGCAGUAUUUGACUCAUUUGCAGCCCAGGACUGCCGUCAUGCUACUCAUGCAGCAAAUGAUACGCUUCAUAUUGUUGUCAUUUUUCAGUUGCUGUGAGUGUUGAUCACUUUCAUGUCAAUUCACCCUAAUAUUGUUUCAUUGCUAAGACAUUUUUUUCUUUCUUACGGGUUUAGUUGGUGGUCUUAUCAGUCAUCAAGUUUGUAUGUGCGCCAUACAUAAGAAUGAUAAGACAAAUUUGGUAUAAAUGUUCACUAAUGAUACCAAAUUAUAUCAAGUGAGGAUGCCCGGAACAUAUUAUACAACCUUCAAUAUCGGUUUAGGGUUGGAACCAAGAUAUUGGAAGAAACUGAAAAGAUGUGUAAUUUUCGAGUUAAAAGAGACACCCACAAUCUAUGUAAUUGAAAUUUCAUGCGGCGUUGUACAUUAAUAGGUUGUUGGAUGUUAUGUUGGGGGCAAUUAGUUGGCAUUUCAGUAUUUCACUAUGAAAAUAGUAUAAUCUACAUUAUGUGAUUCGACUUUAAGACAACACUAGAAAUCCCUCUAACGGCUUCGGUACAUUUCAUUAUAAAUUAAUAUUGAAAAAAGAAUGAUCUACAGCAACAUAACCAGUAAGUUUGAGAAAAGUCUAGCUCUAGCCUUUAGCAUGACGAACAUUCAAGGGUGUAAUGACUAAGCCAUCUCCCAAAUUUUUUUUUUCUCUUUUCAAAUGUAAUAUUUUUGUAACAAUAAAAUCGUAUUGAUAAUUAAAAUAACAAAUAAAUAAGUUACAGUUUCAAAUAGAUAACUAGUUCAGCUAUGGAGUUGAGCUACUUUCUCCAACUCUCCUCAAACUUGAGAGCUCGCAGCAACUUUCCUAAUCUAGGAGUAGUCACAAACAUGGUUUGAGCUCUUCAUUUGAGUUUUUCUCUAAAUUUGGUCUAACGAGCUCAAAUAGAAAGCUUACUAAUACUAGAGAUGUGUUAACUUUUACCAAUUAGUAGGCUAAUACGAGAUGAAAACUUGUUUUCGAUCUUCCCUGUUAAUUUGCUUGUUUCUCAUUCUUCAUUCACUUAGGACAUGGAGUUUUUUAUCAACACCAAUGGCAUCGUCAACCCUUAACUUCAAAACUGUUGAGCUUGGAGCACAACAUUUUCCCUUAUUAAGAACUGAAAACUCAUUCUAAUUGAUACUUAACCUCUGUCACAGAAUCUACUAAGUUUCCCGGUGAAUUUUUCUGCAGUGUUCAUCAAGGGAAGUAACUAAGAUAGUUUUCCAGUGGGGGUGUGCGUGUUCAAAACAGUUUGUUGUUAAAGGAAACACACCAGAAAAAUGUCACACAACAAUGCUUGAUACUAAAGCACCUAUAAAAGGACUAGGAUGGGCAUUUUCUGGUAUCGGGAGUGGUUUCAAUCCUCGUCGUACUGGCAACAAAAAAUAAAGAACGAACACAACAGUUUGUUUACCCAGUGCAACCUUAAUUUAAGAAAAAACAUUGUCGGGACUUUAACUCUUGAAAGCCCUGUUGAAAAGAAAAUUUACUAGGAAUCAAGAAUGAGUCAAUUACAAACUUUGUAACACUAACCGCGGCUACUAUCUCUAGAACCCUAGCAUAUAUGUUUGAAGCACUCUUAACUUGUGACCUUACAAAGUAUUGCAGCGGAAAUACUAUCUCUCAAACGCUAUGCAUGCAAAAAUAGUUCUCUAAGAAUAAUUGUACAAAAGGUAGUCUUCAAACAAGAUGCUACGUCUCCUUUAUAGACAUCCAAAACUCUUGUGCAAGACAUCCCUUCUCAUCAUCAACGUCAUAAAUCCAUUUGGUCUCUUAAAAGGAAAUCUUUUAAAUUGUACAAUCACCAAAUCAAUCAAAUAUAUCUCAUAUAUCAAAUCUGAUAAUUAAAGGAAUAGAAAACCUAAUCAAAUUAAGUUUCAUUUCUUCCACGCAUCAAUAAACCCUAAUCAUAUUAGGUUACAUUCAUUCUCAAGUGAAUCUGAUUCAAUAAGAUCAACAUCCUAAUCAAAUAUAUCUCAUAUAUCAAAUCUGAUAAUCAAAGGAAUAGAAAACCUAAUCAAAUUAAGUUUCGUUUCUUUCACGCAUCAAUAAACCCUAAUCAUCUAGGUUACAUUCAUUCUCAAGUGAAUCUGAUUCAAUAAGAUCAACAUCCUAAUCAAAUUAGGAUCCUUGUCUAUCAACGUAAUAACCAAAUCAAAUAUACUUAAGACUUUUUCCCAUGUGCAUAUCCAUAUCCAAUUAUACAUAGAUAUAUCAAUGCUCAUCAAUCAAAUAUUUAACCAAAUAUAUAAGUACUUCUUUGCUCGCACUUCUUCUAUUUUAUAUAAGGAUGUCAAUAAAUCAUAUACCAAUAACCUAUCAGGCUAUGAGGGUAAUCCAUCCUUCUUAGUCGACUGGCCAUGGUGCAAUUACUUAGUUGCAUGAGUUCUGCGAUCGUUUUCAGUUCUCAGUUCUCACGGUAUAGUUAUUUUCAGUGCCAAAUGAAUAUGAACUUUCGUCAUCCAAACCUUUUCUUUCUUUUUCUAUUCUAUUUGUAUAUCGUCAUAUUUGGUGUUCUCAUCACAUUUGUAUUGAAUUAUAGGUAAGAAAGAGAGAACAGACUUGACAUAUUUUCUGAAUGAAAAUAAUAUCAAUCUAUAUAUAUAUAUAUAUAUAUACACACACACAAUAGUUAAGUUAGGUGCGGACGUCCGCACCAAAGUUUUUGGUACGGAUUUCUAUUUUUGCACCACUUCCCGAUCGAAUUUCCUCAAACUUCCUUCUAGACAUAUCUAGAUCAUCUUGUGUAGAUCAUCUCUGCAAAAUUUCAGCCAAUUUGGUAAUGGUUAAGGCCCUUAAACUCGAGUUUUUCUUAUAUGAACACAACCGGACAGAAUUCAGUCCGUCCAUUUGUAUAUAUAUAUAUAUACAAUGCUGAUCAGGUGCGGUAUUUCCNNNNNNNNNNNNNNNNNNNNCCCUUAAAACCCUAGUAAGAGUAUUCUUAACUUAAUCCUAUAAGUCGCAAGGAAAAAUAGAUAACUUUCUUGAAUAUUUUGAUAACUUAAUUACGAAAAUUUAGGUUGGUGAAGUUUUUACAUUAAAUGAGGUGAUUUUUUUUUCUUUCAAAAAUCCAAUAAAAAAUGUAACCAUAAAUUAAGCCAUAGCUCUCUCUCUCUAUAUAUCUAUUUGCCAUCACCGGUACCACAACAUCGAUUUCAAAAUCAACCACUUAACAAUAUUCCCACAUCAUUUGCGCAAUAUCAUCUCACAUGCAGAUUACCAUGCACACAAGUUCUCAACUGCAUAUGGGUAUAUGUAUUGAUUUAGAAGCCUAAAUAGGUUUUUAAUUAUUUUGACAUGUAUGCUGAUGUUUUUGAAGAGACGAUAUAUAUAUAUAUAUAUAUAUAUAUAUAUAUAUAUAUAUAUAUAACUGCUUAAUUAUGUACUAGGUGAGAACAUUUGUUGGAGAAGGAAUGAAUUCAAGAUAUUGAUAUCCACUAUUGUUUUGUCUAAAUAGAAUUAAGAUAUUGGAAGAUAUUAAAGUAAAUGAAAGUUUUCUUUUCAUUGGAAUGAAAGUUGAGAAUUACAAAGAUAAGCGACUGCAAGCUGUUGUGGAUGUAACAUACGGUAUCCAAACGAGCCUCGGGAGUCCAUUAUGUGGUCUUCGAUUAUGGCACGCACCGUCUGAUUAAGCAUAUCCGUGUUCCCAUGACAGGAGAGUGGAUGAACCUCUCCGAGAUGGGAAAUCGUGAUGGUGGUGAGUCGAUAUAUGGGCACAGUCAGUCUAUUACUGACUUGAGGGGUGAGAGAAAGACGUUUGAAUGUCUAACUUAUUAAUGUUCAGAUAAGUUUGGCGGAGGAAGUGAGAUAAAAAAAAAACUAACUCGAUUGAUUACAAUCCAUGUAUAAUUUUGAUGGAGGAAGUUAAAUCGAACUGUCAACUUUGCACAACACAUCCAUAUAAUGUUUUCUAUAUAUGAUAAGAACACUAGUUGAGUUUAUAUCUACAACAUUGUUUUGGCACUGACUAAGUUUUUGUUUCCUAUCAACUUCUGAAAUAAAUCUAGCCAAUUCAAAAUAAUUAAAAUAAAUGAUGUCAUGCAUGCUAUUUCUAGUUCUUGCACUUUCAAGCAUAAUCCAAUACGCAUUUAAACCGAAAAUAUUAAUAUUCA